rnacentral:rRNA from 1 species
GACGAACGCUGGCGGCGUGCUUAACACAUGCAAGUCGAACGGAAAGGCCCCUUUUGGGGUACUCGAGUGGCGAACGGGUGAGUAACACGUGCGUAACCUGCCCUUGACUUCGGGAUAACUUCAGGAAACUGGGGCUAAUACCGGAUAGGAAUCCUUGCUGCCUGGUGGGGGUUGGAAAGAUUCGGGGGGUUUGGGUUGACGUACGGGUUUUCUACUUGUUGGUUGGGGAGUUGCUUAACAAGGCUUUGACGGGUAGCCGGCCUGCGAGGGCGACCGGCCACAUUUGGGCCUGGGAUAGGCCCAAGCUCCCACGGGGAGCAGGCGGGGGGAAUUUUGCACAAUGGGCGGAAGCCUGAUUCAGCAACGCCGCGGGCGGGAUGACGGGCUUCGGGUUGGAAACCGCUUUCAGCAGGUGCGAAGCUUGUGGUGACGGUACCUGCAGAAGAAGCACCGGCUAACUACGUG